rnacentral:tRNA from 1 species
AUUUAAGUAGUUUAUAACAAAUAAAAGAUUGUGGGGCUUUAGAAGGAGAAAUUCCCUUAAAUA